UGGGGAAUAUUGCACAAUGGGCGCAAGCCUGAUGCAGCCAUGCCGCGUGUAUGAAGAAGGCCUUCGGGUUGUAAAGUACUUUCAGCGGGGAGGAAGGUGUUGAGGUUAAUAACCUCAGCAAUUGACGUUACCCGCAGAAGAAGCACCGGCUAACUCCGUGCCAGCAGCCGCGGUAAUACGGAGGGUGCAAGCGUUAAUCGGAAUUACUGGGCGUAAAGCGCACGCAGGCGGUCUGUCAAGUCGGAUGUGAAAUCCCCGGGCUCAACCUGGGAACUGCAUUCGAAACUGGCAGGCUAGAGUCUUGUAGAGGGGGGUAGAAUUCCAGGUGUAGCGGUGAAAUGCGUAGAGACCUGGAGGAAUACCGGUGGCGAAGGCGGCCCCCUGGACAAAGACUGACGCUCAGGUGCGAAAGCGUGGGGAGCAAACA
rnacentral:rRNA from 1 species